UGGGGAAUAUUGCACAAUGGGCGCAAGCCUGAUGCAGCCAUGCCGCGUGUAUGAAGAAGGCCUUCGGGUUGUAAAGUACUUUCAGCGAGGAGGAAGGCGUUGUGGUUAAUAACCGCAGCGAUUGACGUUACUCGCAGAAGAAGCACCGGCUAACUCCGUGCCAGCAGCCGCGGUAAUACGGAGGGGCCAAGCGUUAAUCGGAAUUACUGGGCGUAAAGCGCACGCAGGCGGUCUGUCAAGUCGGACGUGAAAUCCCCGGGCUCAACCUGGGAACUGCAUCCGAAACUGGCAGGCUAGAGUCUUGUAGAGGGGGGUAGAAUUCCAGGUGUAGCGGUGAAAUGCGUAGAGAUCUGGAGGAAUACCGGUGGCGAAGGCGGCCCCCUGGACAAAGACUGACGCUCAGGUGCGAAAGCGUGGGGAGCAAACA
rnacentral:rRNA from 1 species